ensembl:lncRNA
UCAUACUGUUUUUGUUCGCCAUUCCAUACUUCUCUCUUUCUUGUAUUAGUUAUAGCUCUCUUGCAUUAUUAUUUUUUAAUUUAUAGUGUCCAUCCUAUUAUUUUCAGCAGUGAACCACAAAUGAAGUUUCCCUAGUUGUCUGCUUUCCUCUUCUCCUGAUCUGUCAUUGCUGUAACAGCCUUCUCAUCAGCUCUUUGGUUGCCUUCUAUGUACAUGCUGAAGAUACUCAGAAGGCUCUCAGUGGAAGAACACUUAAUUGCCAUCGUCCAAGCCACUGACAUCAUUUAAAAUAUCUGACCCACACUCUACAUUCUGGCAUGCCUCUGUAGAAGACAUCUGAGCCUCUCCCUCCAGCCGAGCCAUUUGCAAUGCAGGAGAGACUGAUGCAUACAGGAUUUUACCAGCACUGGCACCUGGCUGAACUCAGCCCUUCUCAGGACCCCCUGCCUGGAGGGCAGGACAGUGCUGCAGAGCAUUUUCACCUCUGUGCAGCAGCUGGGAAGCAACAGAGGAUGCUACUGCAGUCACAGCAUUGCAGUCCCUUUUUCUCUCCAGGUCUUUCAGCAUCAUUGAUAGCUGAGGUGUACACAAAGAAGUAUUUCACAGUGUGAUGGGAAGCUGGAAAAAUAAGCCUGCAAUCAAUCAUGACUUGCUUGUAUUAAAAGUAGCUGCCUGGAGCUCUCACAGGCCUCCCAGCGCCAUUCCUAAUUUCCCUCUGUACCUCAAUAACCCCAGCAUCCCAGCACCAUUCUACUCCCACAAUGAACUCACCUGACCUUAUACAGCAUCUACUGGGUAGCCAGACAGCCUAAGUCUGAACUCUUUUCUUCAAGAGAAAAAAUACUGUCAAGUCUAACAGAAAUAUUCAAGCACUGAGUCAAACAUUUGGCUGCAUGAGUUCCUCCCCAGGGCUACUUCCUGUCCUCUACCUGGGAAUUGCUACUCAUAGCAUUUUUCUACUCUAAUUUUUAUUGUGCUGUUUUUGCUAAUGGUCAGUUUGUAAGAAAACCAGCUAGCAGGAACUACAUCAGUUCUCCC